AAAUAUCAAAAAUAAUUUUUGAUUUACAAAUUUAGUUACAGAAAAUGUUAUAGACUUAUUCUCUGGAAAGGUAUUUAAAAAUAUCUAUCUGCUUGAGGUAGUUCUGAAUAAAGACAGGAAGAAAAGAAGGUAAGCUAAAAAGAAAAUUUUGGAGUAUUGAAAAGUAGGAUGUAUAGUAUCUCUGUGAGAUGAUUUAGUGAAGAAAAUAGAAUAUCCAAGAUUUUAACUCUUCUGCCAAUGACCUGUUUUACAGAAUUAGAGGAGACAGCACUGAUGGGAGUGACAGAAGCGGUGCCGGUUAACUCCCCACCAUCAAAAGUAUCUUCUGCUGUAGCCUGGCACAAGUUUCAAGCAUCCACUGGGGGUCUUGGGAUGCAUCGCCCUGCAGAUAAAGGCAACUGCUGUGCAGCAUGAACAGUAUGGAGACAAUACUUAUCUUCAUGGAGUUUAUAUUAGAGUAAGACAAGAGGUAGGAGACUGCCUAUUUUAUUGUUCUCUUGAAAAGACUGGGUAUUUUACUUUUAUGAAAGGCUUUAUAGCCUGCAGGGGCAUUCUAAUAUGGAUUUUGGGGGUGAAGAGAGAAAUAGGUGUGGAAAGUAAGUUCAGGGGUACAGAGACCCAUAGGUUUUUUAAAAGAGAAGUCAGGGGAAGGUCUCUUAAGGUAGUAGUGGAGUCCAAAUUAUUCUAUGUCCCUUGUAGCUCCUACCCUUUGUAUGCAGUAAUUUUUUUUUUAAAUUGAAGACAGGGGAAGGUCUCUUAAGGUAAUAGUAGAGACCAAAUUAUUCUAUCUCCCUCGUAGCUCCUUCCCUGUGUAUGCAGUUAACGGAGUGGGGUUUCCCCACUUGUCCCGAAAUCUUCUAGGCACAACAGAUUCCUGUAGUGAGCUGCAUGCAAGGAAGAAGCCUGGUAGGUGAGUAAUUAUUAUAAUCACCAAGAACCCUGAAAGAAACUAAUACUUUAUUUAAAUCAAGUAGCUAAUUAAAAAUGUGAAUAUACAACCAAAUCCCAAG
rnacentral:lncRNA from 1 species